AGAGUAUGGAAGGGCGGGGGAAGGAGAAUGCUCGGCGCCUGCGCACUAGCCCGAAGCCGCGGAUCGGCCGGCAGAGACCGAAGGUAGAGGACCUGGCGCGUGCGGGGGGGAAAAGGCGGGAAACGGAAGCAGCUCGAGGCUCGCGCAUGCGCAUACGGUCAACUGCCCACGGGGCGCCGGAGAAGAUACCGCGUUGGUGUGUGGAGCGCAUUCCUUGAGACUGGGUUCUGGAACCUAGAGAAACAGCUCUAUAUCCUCAGCGCCAGAAAACGCAGACCUCAAACCCUCCCUUUCUAUCCUGCCCCUCCUCGCUUCCCUCCUAAAGCACAGGAGCAGCCCUGGCUCUGAGAGACACCAUUACUCUCUUCUCAGCCAUGACAGAGAUGGCCCAGCCCUUCCGGGAGGGACAGGCCUCUGAGCCGAGGCCACCGUUGCCGGCCCUUUGGACGACCAGGAGGUACGGGAGCCCUCAGCUUCUUGAUUAGGGCUGCCUUGCCUCCCCUCAGGCUGGUUCAACAAGUAGCCCCUCAUUCCAUGGAUGGGACUUUGCGUGCCCCUUUCUGCCUGAGCGCCGUGGAGCUAGAGCCUGCCUCCCAGGGGCACCAUUGCCUGCGUCAGCGGAGUCCCGGGCCCGGCCCCCUCUGACACUGCUCCCCGCAACUCUCCCUUCGUCCAGCCUCCACCUUGCCUGAGACUUCGGCAGACCCCGCAGCCCCUCUCCCACGCCCCACGCCACCCUUCCUGAGAACUCAACCCCAAGGCCACCGAGCCUGGCUGGACUGGGGGCCGCCUGGCAGAGGAGUAAGUGCCUCCCUGUCGGCCCGGGGCGACCUGGAGAGCUCAGGGAUCCCUGAGGUCCGAUUUUCCACCUAGCGGGCAUGGAAAUGCCGCGAGGAUGAGGAAACUGAGGCCCAGAGAGAGCAAAUUAGGUGCCCAAGUUCACUAAGGAAGACUUUGAGAGCUCUCAGAACUGGACAGGAGUGGUUGAUGCUGGAACAGCAGAUGCAGGAGAGAGGGGCAGGAGUCCAGCUCCCUGUACUGUCUUGACUCUCCUUCUCAGGAGCACAGUGACCACGGAAGAUUUCAGCCACAUAGGACUUGGAUGCUUCCAUCAGCGCUCCACUAUAGUAUCUGACUGACGCCCACCCUGCUUCUCACGUAAAGAAUCCAAGGCACAGAAACAUUACAAGUAGCUUGCCUGAAAUCUCAAAGUAGGUCCUCAGGAGCAGGACCACCAGUGCAGGUAGUCCGGUUCCAGAACGUGCCUUCCUCAAUAACACGGUCUCUGGUAAGUCAUCCAAAGCGGCCACGGGAACUCUGCUGCUUCGUAUCUGCAUGCCUGUGUACCACUGGCUUGCCCUUCUGCCUGUAAUACUUUUCCUUAAAGACUCUGGUCAAGGGAGGAUGCUCCAUCUUCUUGGACUUCUUUUGCCUGUCCUGGGGGCAGUCACUGUCCUUGGAGCUUGACUGCACUUUGUCAGAUUUUGUUAAACUACACAGUAGUGUAUUUUGUGGAAUAUCUGAUUCCUUGUGUUAUAAGCUUCUGGAGAGCAGUGACUUUUUUUUUUUCUGGAAAAUUUCAAACAGUUGCAAAAGUAAAGGUAAUAAUAAAGUGAAUCUGCACGCACUCAUCAUGCAGCUUCAGCAAUUAUUUUGUGGCUGGUAUUACUUCAUUUAUACUCCUCUCCUCAAACCUGGAUUAUUUUGAAGCAAAUUUCAGACAUCAGAUAAUUUCAUUAAGAUUACAAUUGUAUUACUAAAAUAUAUCUUUACAAAAACAUAACCACAAUACCAUUAUUGCACUAAAAAUUAAUACUUCCUCAAUGUCAUAAAAUAUUCACUGUUCUAAUUUCUGCAAUUAUAAUUUUCCCCCUGCCUUCCCUUCUCUCUCCUUCUAGCCUUUUUUGUUCCUUUAUUUCUUUUUUUGUCUACACCUCUUUAAAAAAAAAAAAAAAGCAGAGUAGUUUGAAUAAAAAUCCAAGUAAGGGCUUUAUUUUUUAGUCUUCAUGUUCUCAUCAGCACCUGGCUUAGUGCUUGACAUAUAGAAAUCCUCAGUAAAUGUUUAGUAAGUGAAUGACUCAUUAGAAAUCUAUAAAAUGUCCUAGUUGAAUGAGUGUAGCCUUACUGUUAGGUAAUAUCUGGUUGGUUUCUUGGGAUGGCUUUUGGUUUCUGGUACUUUAGUUAGGGAUUAACUUAGAUGCUGGCUAUUAUCAGCUAUUACUAAAGGUUUGAGGACAGUGAGUGUGUCUGUGACUCAGACAUUUACAUGCUAGAAGGAAAUGCACUGGGCUCUCUUGUCUCUGCUUUUUGUCCUUGGUCUCUAUUCCACUUUGAGUUUGAACUGACCAUGUUUGGCUUUUUUGU